GGUCAUUGGCUCCGAACUUCUGUUCUGCUCGUCUCACUCUCCUUCCCUGCUCCAGCCAGUCAGUCACCAGUUCUGCUGCUUGCAUCCUCGGGCCCCUCACACUGAUGCACUGUUCGUGCUCCAGACUGUGACACCGCUCCUGAGCCUCACCUGCUCCCCCAGACAUUAGUUUGGCUUCAGUGCAGAGUGGACGAUCAAGCUGGCCAGGGAUCGAACUCAAGACCUUGCGCUUGUGAUGCAGGCGGCAGAACUGAGCCACAUCCCCGACUCCCACUGGAUUUGCACUGCACCUCAAAGAGACACUCACAGAAGAGGGCUGCAGAGCUGCUGCAGGGAGGCAGACCCGCUGAGGAUCAGAGGCAGCGGGAGGGAAAAGAGGGAAAGAGAAGCGAAAUGAUGAAGACGCGGUCCAUGUGUGUGCCGGCUCUGCACCGCAGAGGAAUUCGCUGUGCGCCACGAAUGUGUAGGGCGAAGAAUAUGGCAAGAAUUCUACGGCAGCAUUUGGAAGGUAUUAAUGACUACAUGUGCUUCAUUUUGAUAAAUGUUAUAAUCUUCAGCGGGAGAGGCCUCCCUAAUACAGUGGAGCAGGGCGGAGUUCACACUGCAUUUCUGCUACCAGCGAGGGCACAGCUGUGCAGCAUCCGCUCAGCCCUGGCAGCUGUGGUUCACGUGAAACCUCCUGAAGCCAAGACCCAGAGCACAAUCAGUACGGAAGCAGAUGCGAAUGGACGCGUUCUCUCUUCAUUGUCCUUUGAGGAGAUUUUGACAUCAAACCUGAGGACAGAGCCUCAACUGCAGAUCUGAAGUUGACUGUGACUCUUUACAGUGAUCCUUCUAAACAACAAAGUCAGUGUGUGAUUUCAACGAAGGAAACAGUAAAGCAGAAAUAAAUUAUAGCUCUUCAAUGUUACUUAUAAUGUCUUUGAUAGUGUUUUUAAAUAAAAAUAUUUGUACACAAAUUCAAUUUUUUCAUGUUAACAUGUUGAAUAUGAAUAUGAAGUCAAGCCGGGGGUUUAGCUCAGUGGUUCGGUGGCCUGCCUUGCAAGGGCAAGGACCCAAGUUCAAUCCCCGGUACCAAAAAAAAAAAAUUUAAUGUUGAAGGAACACCAGAGAGUUUUCACACAAAGCAAAGACACUUAAAUACAUCCUUAGGUUGUUGUGAACUUCCAGUUCUGUUUUCUAUUGAUUUCAUUCCUACACUUAAGGACUCUCACUGUCCAGAUUUACCAGGCAUCAGUAUCUGUUUUUACCAGGUAAAAUUCAAUCAUCUCCUUUUAAUUUACAGAGGUUUUCCUACAGAUUUUAAGAAACCUCCUUUGAGCACUC
rnacentral:lncRNA from 1 species